GAGAAAUUUUUCCUUCGGCUCAUAAAUGGGUAAAAAGACAUUAACAAACAAGCAGACUCCACUUUGGAAAUGAUAGCCCUUCUGUUGCAGAGUAAUACGAAGCUCUCUGAAGCUCACUCUAAUGACUUCAUAAAUCAAAACUGCAGCCUGUAAAGAUAUGAUUUUUCUUCAGGGAACAGAGGUCAUAUUUAAAGUGGCUUUAAGUCUGUUGGGAAGCCAUAAGCCCUUGAUUCUGCAGCAUGAAAACCUAGAAACCAUAGUUGACUUUAUAAAGAGCACACUACCCAACCUUGGCUUGGUACAGAUGGAAAAGACCAUCAAUCAGGUAUUUGAGAUGGACAUUGCUAAACAGUUACAAGCUUAUGAAGUCGAGUACCACGUCCUUCAAGAAGAACUUAUCGAUUCCUCUCCUCUCAGUGACAACCAAAGAAUGGAUAAAUUAGAGAAAACCAACAGCAGCUUACGCAAACAGAACCUUGACCUCCUUGAACAGUUGCAGGUGGCAAAUGGUAGGAUCCAAAGCCUUGAGGCCACCAUUGAGAAGCUCCUGAGCAGCGAGAGCAAGCUGAAGCAGGCCAUGCUUACCUUAGAACUGGAGCGGAAGGCCCUGCUGCAGACGGUGGAGGAGCUGCGGCGACGGAGCGCAGAGCCCAGCGACCGGCAGCCUGAGUGCACACAGCCCGAGCCCACAGGCUACUGACAGCUCUGCAGGAGAGAUUGCAACACCAUCCCACACUAUCCAGGCCUUAACUGAGAGGGACAGAAGACGCUGGAAGGAGAGAAGGAAGCGGGAAGUGUGCUUCUCAGGGAGGAAACCGGCUUGCCAGCAAGUAGAUUCUUACGAAGUCCAACUUGCAAUUCAGGGGGCAUGUCCCAGUGUUUUUUUUGUUGUUUUUAGAUACUAAAUUGUCCCUUCUUCAGUCCUGAUUACUGUACACAGUAGCUUUAGAUGGCGUGGACGUGAAUAAAUACAACUUAUGUUUUCUUGUUGG
rnacentral:sRNA from 1 species